CUUCCGUGGACCUUCGACCCGGACGGUAUCGUCUAAUGAGAAGAGUAUUUGCCAGCAGCCAAUAAGCGAUCUCUAUUUACGGAAACCGUAAAAGUGCCUACUAUCCUUUCAGAGGAUCCUGGUUCACUUACUAGGACCCACAAUGGGAAGCCUACACCAACCUUGGCUAACUCCAGCUCCAGGGGAUCCAGUGCUUGCUUCUGGCCUCGAAGGACACUCACAGAAAUGUUACAUACCCCACCCUGCAAGAUAGACAAGAUAAGGAUCUGGAUCUAAUCUACCUCCUCCCACCCCCUGGAAAAAACAUUUCAUACCUAAUCUGCCAUGUUAAGAAUGUAUUUCCAAUCUAUAUCUCUACAUUCAAAGCAAAGAGUGUAGAGAAACUAGACAGUGUGACAUAACACCAACUACCUAAGGAAGCGUGUUUUAAAAAGCGUAAUAAUCUUAUAAUCUCAGCACUUUGGAGGCUGAGGCAGGAGGAAGGUAAGUCUGAGACUGGCUGGGUUUACAUCGUGACAUCAUGAUGUCGUGACAUCAUGUCUCAAAAUCCAAAGUAUCUGGGGAUGGAACUCGGCUGGAAAAUGUUUGCUCAUCAAGCACGAAGUCCCAGGCUUGGUUUCCAGCUCCUGCACCUAGAGUGUGAGAGGUACAAGGAGGAGGAUCAGGCAUUCCAAGGUUGCUUAUCUUAGUUUCUUCCCCGUUACUGAGGUAAAAUAUCCUGACCAAGCAACUGUCGCAAGAAUGGCUUUAUUUUAGGUUAGUGAUGAAGAAGCCAAGGCGGGAGGAGCCUAAAGCAGCUAGCUGGUCACAUUACAGUCCCAGUCAGAAGAGAAAUGAACGCCUGCGCACACCUAGCUUUCUUCAUUUUUUACACCGCAGAAUCCGGCCCCAGGAAUCACCUCCCAACUAAGUUGGGCUUUCCCACAUUGUUACUCCACCGCAUCCAAGUCCCAAAGACGACAGCAAACCUGACUGGCUCCCUGUGAUCCCAGUGUUCAGGAGGUGGAGCGGGAGGACAGCCUGGGAUGGAUAGUCACGGAGACCCCAGCUCAAAAUAUCAAAUAAAGACAAAAGCAGAGCAAGACAGAGAUGGUAAAAUAGGUGGGUGUGGUGGUGCAGCCUGCCAUCCCAGCACUGGGCAUGUAGAGGGCAGACGGUCAGGAGUCCAGGCCGGUUCUCUGGCUUACACGAAACCUUGUCAUACACACUAAA